rnacentral:rRNA from 1 species
AGUGAACGCUGGCGGCGUGCUUAACACAUGCAAGUCGAACGGAUGAAAUAAGCUUGCUUAUUUCGUUAGUGGCGCACGGGUGAGUAAUGUAUAGCUAACCUGCCCUUUAGUGGGGGACAACAGUUGGAAACGACUGCUAAUACCCCAUACUCCUUCUUAUCAUAAGGUAAGUCGGGAAAGAUUUAUUGCUAAAGGAUGGGGCUUUAUUGUAUCAGCUUGUUGGUGGGGUAAUGGCCUACCAAGGCGAUGACGCAUACCUGGUCUGAGAGGAUGGUCGGGCACACUGGAACUGAGACACGGUGCAGACUCCUACUGGAGGCAGCAGUGGGGAAUAUUGCACAAUGGGGGAAACCCUGAUGCAGCAACGCCGCGUGGAGGAUGACGCAUUUCGGUGUGUAAACUCCUUUUAUAAGGGAAGAUAAUGACGGUACCUUAUGAAUAAGCACCGGCUAACUCCGUGCCAGCCGCCGCAGUAA